rnacentral:rRNA from 1 species
AUGAGUCAAGUAGCUCUGCUGCAGUCUGAGCACAACCUUGUUCAUCAAACCAAUCGAAGAAACGAAGUAAACAAUGCAGCAGAAGAAAACAAAACCCCACUUAGCGAUUGCCCCCAAUCAAAGGAUAUACCGAUGAGAACAACGCCAAAAAUUAGGAUCAUCCAACCGACUCGUCACUGGCAAAUGGCGAUGCCAAGAAACCAAGCAAACGAGCUUCUCAUUCCCAGGCCACCCCCCACUCUCUUCGUAGAGGCAAAGCACUCGGGGACGAUGGACGAGGUGCACCGCGCACGCGACGUGGCGGUUGUCGCCCCCAUGCCGCUCGGGGACGAGCUCGAGGGGCUCCGGGUCGAUCUGGCCGCGGCCAAGAGCCGCCUCGCCGCGACAGCCGCCGAGAUACCGCCCCUCAAGUCGCUCAUCGAGUCCACCAACGGCAGCAUCGCCGCGAGGCAGCAGGAGGAGGGCAAGAAGCAGGCGGCCGUGGACGAGCUCCGGCUGCGCGCCGACCAAGGCCGGGACGAGCUCCGGCGGCUCCUGCUGGAGUUGGCCGCGGCGCGCGACGCCAAGUACGCGCUGGAGCGGCGGGUGUCCGUCCGGCGCCAGGCGGCUCGCGCGCUGCAGCUGGCCGAGCGAGCCGUGGCGGCGGAGACCCACGCGCUGGCGUGGUCCGCGGCCGCGGCGGCAGAGCAGCUGAACCCGCGCUCCGGCGGAGCCGACUACGACGACGAUGACGCCCACCACGACGUCGUGGCGGUGCCCGCGCGGAGCUACGAGGAGCUGCGGCACAGAGUGGAGGACGAGGAGCGGAAGGCGGACGCGCGCGUGGAGGAGGCCGAGGCGCUGCGCCGUGCGGCGAAGGCGCGGCGGGCCGCGGCCGUGGGGAGGCUGGAGGCGGCGCGCGCCAGGAGGCGUGAGGCUGCCGAGAGCCGCCGCCGCGACGUGGAUCACCGGCGUGGCAAGAUGGAGACCGGGAAGGGGCCGGUCAAGAGCAGGAGCUGGCGGUCGUGCCUGGUAGUCAAGAAGAAGCUGGGGGCCUUCUUCUGCAAGGAACGCAAAGCUUCACGCGGUCGUUCUUGA